rnacentral:tRNA from 1 species
CAAAGAAUAGUUUAUUUAAAAUAAUAAUUUUGGAGAUUAUUGAAAUUAGUUUUAAUUUCUUUGA